GGAUGUCGGACGCGAACCCUCCCGACGACCGGAAGCUCCCGUGGUUCGAGCCGUACGCGCGGGAGGGGUUCACGGACCUGUCGACGGUGCACGAGCUCCCCUACGACCAUUCCAUCCUGCUGGAGAACCUCAUGGACCCGGCGCACGUGCCCAUCUCCCACGACCGCACCGACUGGACGGCCAAGCGCGAGGACGCGCAGGCGCUCUUCUUCGACGUCACCGAGCGCACCGCGCGCGGGUUCGCGGGCUACUGGGGCCGCACGCGCACGCCGCACCUCCGCAACCUGCUCCGCUUCGAGGCGCCCUGCGUGCUCACCAACACGCUCGAGUUUACGGACAAGGACGGCAAGGACCAGUGCUUCUCCGCGCACUUCCUCUGCCGCCCCGCGGGGCAGGGCAAGUCCAUGCUCAUCGUGCGCUUCGGCUCCACCGUCAGGUCGCCCAUCGUCAAGCUCCUCCCGUCAUGGUACUUCCACCAGAACGCCUGCAAGGUGUUCGAGCAGGACAUGGGGUUCCUGUCGUCGCAGAACGAGGUGCUGAUCAGGGAGAAGGUGCCCACAAGGGAGCUCUACCUCAACCUCCGAUCCUCCGACACCUGGGUCGCCGAGUACAGGAAGUGGAUGGACAGGGCGGGCCACGGCAUGCCCUACUACUUCGGCCACAGCAGCCUGGCGCCGCCGCCAGUGCCGGCCGUCGUCGAGCAAGCG
rnacentral:lncRNA from 1 species